rnacentral:rRNA from 1 species
GACGAACGCUGGCGGCGUGCUUAACACAUGCAAGUCGAACGGAAAGGCCCUGCUUUUUUGUGGUGCUCGAGUGGCGAACGGGUAAGUAACACGUGAGUAACCUGCCCUUGACUUUGGGAUAACUUCAGGAAACUGGGGCUAGUACCGGAUAGGAGCUCCUGCUGCAUGGUGGGGGUUGGAAAGUUUAGGCGGUUGGGGAUGGACGGGCGGCUAAUCAGCUUGUUGGUUGGGUAGUGGCUUACCAAGGCUUUGACGGGUAGCCGGCCUGAGAGGGUGACCAGGGCCCAUAGGACUACGAUACGCAGCAGAGUGGUACUGUGGACAGUAGGGGGGAGCAUGAUCCAGUGAGCCGAAGCGUGAUGCAGAGACCUUCCGUGCGUAAUGACGUCUUGCAGGUAGUAAAAAGCUUCCGCCUGAGACCAAGCGUGCGUGACGGUACUGGGAAAAGAAGCACCGGCUAACUACGUG